GGAACAUGCUGAAGCAAAGCAUCCCAAAUCAGAGCUGACUCAGUGCUUUCCCCAUCUUAAAUCAUCAUAAGAGUGUUCCAAGUUAAGAAGCAUCUUGCUCCAUCAAAUCAACUUAUGUCUAUAUAUUUCAUCUAGAGUUGUGUAAUUGAAACCUUGAAUGGUGUGGAAACAAUGCUGUGUUUGCAUAUUUAAACCGAGUUUUAUGCUGCUUUAAUAUCCUAGCCAACA
rnacentral:misc_RNA from 1 species